UUCAGACUCGAAAUGCCCCAAAGAAGAUAUAGGCUUGAGUAGGUAUCAAAUAUCGUCCAACUCCCCAAGGAUUCCACGAGGCCACUGAAUGACGUUAAACAAUGUGUGCAGGCUGGAGAUACGUGUACGAGAGGUGCAGCAGCCGGCCACACGGAGACGGGGCCGGAAAUCAAGACCCAACGACGACGAUUAAAUAGUGAGCUCCAGCAGCAUGAUGAUGGUUUCUGGGAUGGCACGGAUAACGAAGAGGAGGACCCGGAUGAAGAAGCAACAGUCACCAACCAGUGGCCAAAUAACCAGUACUGGACUGCUCUGAGCGGUUCUAAAGACCUGCCUGCCCGGCCUUCCAGAAGUGGAAGUGUGUCAACGGGGAUGGCCAAGUGCCGGUUCCACCUGCAAUUUGAGCUUCAGUUGGAGGCCUUGUCAAGGAAGGAAUACCAACAAAAUGAGACCUGCUUCAAAAAGCGUAGCGAGACAGAAGUAGUCCUUUCGUGGCUACCAGGGCCGCCAUGUUUGACUCCCUG